UGUCAAUUUGAGGAUUUUUUAUGCAAUCUUCUAUCAACUAAUUGCACUUUAUGCAAUUAUAGACUGUCUACAGCUCUCUAAGUAAUUUAUUAUUUGAUAAUUUUUUAUCAAGUUGACUGUUUAUUUUUCCUAAAACCUUAAAAUCAUACUGUAAAUUUCUAAACAUUGUCAAACUAUUAUUAUUUGUUUAAUUUACAUGUGCCCCUUAUAUUAGAUUUAUUCUAAUUUUGUUUUAUCUUUCAGAUUUUGAAUAUGUCAAUUCAUUAAGUGUGUACGAGCUAAAACAAAUUGUGAUCUACAAUCAGUUCAAUGAAAACUACUUCGCAACAAGUCAACCUAGUGCAUUUUGAAUCAUCUCAUUUUGGAAUUUUCAUCAUGUUCAAUUUUCUGAAUUCUGUUUCGUCCUGGUGAGUAUAUAUUAUACUUUUUCUUUAUAAUAGACUUUAUCGUUUUGGAUCAAUAAUGGCUUAUAAUAAUUUUGUUUUUGAAAUUGAACAAAUUGAAAAUUAUGUGUUGUUUUAGCAUUUUAAUAUCAGGGUUCACAUACAUUUAAUGAUAAGCUAUCAAUAUGUCUGUUUAUUGUAUUUUAAUAAAUUAAAUAUCCAAUUAAAUUUAGAUAUAGUGUUAGGAAUUUUUAUAAUCGAACCCUUUGUUGUAUUUAGGACUAUGAUAUUUGAACAUUAUAGAAUGAAAGAUGUUAGAAUUGAAGGGUUAUAUCGAGCCAGUAUAUUUCAUUAGACUCGUUAUAACCUUUCCAUUUCAGGAUCUCAUUUUAAUGCAUCGGACACUCAAAUGAUAAUUUGUACCAUUAUUAAUUGUACAUAGCCAUAUUGACAUUAAGGUAAAUGUUUAUCACUGUAAAUUGAAUGUUUGACUACUACCAUAGAAAUGUUACCUAGGUUCAUAAAUGUUGUCAAUGUCAAUCAGUCUUUAAAUUAUAAUAUUCACCAUGAUUAUGAAUAUAAGUAAUAUCUUUCAAUCUCGGUCUAUUACUGUUUUUUUGUAACCACUACUGUGAGUAUACAUUAAAUCAUAUCACAAUUUAUCCAAUUUAUAAUGUUAUGGCUAUAUGAUAAUGGAAGAAACAACAUGUCCUCUGUUUUGAAAAGAACAACAUGUGUACAAUUAAAAUAAUUGAUCUACAAAUUGAAGGGUUAUCUCUGGCGGGUGUAAAUAAAAUGCUGGAAAUAACCUGUCAAUUUGAGGAUUUUUUAUGCAUUCUUCUAUCAACUAAUUGCACUUUAUGCAAUUAUAGACCGUCUACAGCUCUCUAAGUAAUUUAUUUUUUGAUAGUUUUUUAUCAAGUUGACUGUAUAUUUUUUCUAAAAGCGUAAAAUCAUACUGUAAAUUUCUAAACAUUGUCAAACUAUUAUUAUUUGUUUAAUUUACAUGUGCCCCUUAUAUUAGAUUUAUUCUAAUUUUGUUUUAUCUUUCAGAUUUUGAAUAUGUCAAUUCAUUAAGUGUGUACGAGCUAAAACAAAUUGUGAUCUACAAGCAUUUCAAUGAAAACUACUUCGCAACAAGUCAACCUAGUGCAUUUUGAAUCAUCUCAUUUUGGAAUUUUCAUCAUGUUCAAUUUUCUGAAUUCUGUUUCAUCCUGGUGAGUAUAUAUUAUACUUUUUCUUUAUAAUAGACUUUAUCGUUUUGGAUCAAUAAUGGCUUAUAAUAAUUUUGUUUUUGAAAUUGAACAAAUUGAAAAUUAUGUGUUGUUUUAGCAUUUUAAUAUCAGGGUUCACUUACAUUUAAUGAUAAGCUAUCAAUAUGUCUGUUUAUUGUAUUUUAAUAAAUUAAAUAUCCAAUUAAAUUUAGAUAUAGUGUUAGGAAUUUUUAUAAUCGAACCCUUUGUUGUAUUUAGGACUAUGAUAUUUGAACAUUAUAGAAUGAAAGAUGUUAGAAUUGAAGGGUUAUAUCGAGCCAGUAUAUUUCAUUAGGCUCGUUAUAACCUUUCGAUUUCAGGAUCUCAUUUUAAUGCAUCCAACACUCAAAUGAUAAUUUGUACCAUUAUUAAUUGUACAUAGCCAUAUUGACAUUAAGGUAAAUGUUUAUCACUGUAAAUUGAAUGUUUGACUACUACCAUAGAAAUGUUACCUAGGUUCAUAAAUGUUGUCAAUGUCAAUCAGUCUUUAAAUUAUAAUAUUCACCAUGAUUAUGAAUAUAAGUAAUAUCUUUCAAUUUCGGUCUAUUACUGUUUUUUUGUAACCACUACUGUGAGUAUACAUUAAAUCAUAUCACAAUUUAUCCAAUUUAUAAUGUUAUGACUAUAUGAUAAUGGAAGAAACAACAUGUCCUCUGUUUUGAAAAGAACAACAUGUGUACAAUUAAAAUAAUUGAUCUACAAAUUGAAGGGUUAUCUCUGGCGGGUAUAAAUAAAAUGCUGGAAAUAACCUGUCAAUUUGAGGAUUUUUUAUGCAAUCUUCUAUCAACUAAUUGCACUUUAUGCAAUUAUAGACUGUCUACAGCUCUCUAAGUAAUUUAUUAUUUGAUAAUUUUUUAUCAAGUUGACUGUUUAUUUUUCCUAAAACCUUAAAAUCAUACUGUAAAUUUCUAAACAUUGUCAAACUAUUAUUAUUUGUUUAAUUUACAUGUGCUCCUUAUAUUAGAUUUAUUCUGAUUUUGUUUUUUUUUUCAGAUUUUGAAUAUGUCAAUUCAUUAAAAGUGUAUGAGCUAAAACAAAUUGUGAUCUACAAGCAGUUCAAUGUAAACUACUUCGCAACAAGUCAACCUAGUGCAUUUAUAAUCAUCUUAUUUUGGAAUUUUCAUCAUGUUCAAUUUUCUGAAUUCUGUUUCGUCCUGGUGAGUAUAUAUUAUACUUUUUCUUUAUAAUAGACUUUAUCGUUUUGGAUCAAUAAUGGCUUAUAAUAAUUUUGUUUUUGAAAUUGAACAAAUUGAAAAUUAUGUGUUGUUUUAGCAUUUUAAUAUCAGGGUUCACAUACAUUUAAUGAUAAGCUAUCAAUAUGUCUGUUUAUUGUAUUUGAAUAAAUUAAAUAUCCAAUUAAAUUUAGAUAUAGUGUUAGGAAUUUUUAUAAUCGAACCCUUUGUUGUAUUUAGGACUAUGAUAUUUGAACAUUAUAGAAUGAAAGAUGUUAGAAUUGAAGGGUUAUAUCGAGCCAGUAUAUUUCAUUAGACUCGUUAUAACCUUUCCAUUUCAGGAUCUCAUUUUAAUGCAUCGGACACUCAAAUGAUAAUUUGUACCAUUAUUAAUUGUACAUAGCCAUAUUGACAUUAAGGUAAAUGUUUAUCACUGUAAAUUGAAUGUUUGACUACUACCAUAGAAAUGUUACCUAGGUUCAUAAAUGUUGUCAAUGUCAAUCAGUCUUUAAAUUAUAAUAUUCACCAUGAUUAUGAAUAUAAGUAAUAUCUUUCAAUCUCGGUCUAUUACUGUUUUUUUGUAACCACUACUGUGAGUAUACAUUAAAUCAUAUCACAAUUUAUCCAAUUUAUAAUGUUAUGACUAUAUGAUAAUGGAAGAAACAACAUGUCCUCUGUUUUGAAAAGAACAACAUGUGUACAAUUAAAAUAAUUGAUCUACAAAUUGAAGGGU